UGAGCAGCCGCCGGCGGAGCGGGGGUCAUUGAUGUUGACUUAUACGGGAUAUUUCCCGCUGCU
rnacentral:tRNA from 1 species